UGCAGGCUGCAACCCGCCUGCAUGAAGUCGGAAUUGCUAGUAAUCGCGGAUCAGCAUGCCGCGGUGAAUACGUUCCCGGGCCUUGUACACACCGCCCGUCACACCAUGAGAGCCGGUAACACCCGAAGUCAGGAGCCUAACCGCAAGGAGGGCGCUGCCGAAGGUGGGAUUGGUAAUUGGGGUGAAGUCGUAACAAGGUAAC
rnacentral:rRNA from 1 species